CCUCAACAUUAGGAUCCCAUAAAAAUCUGGAGCUGGUUAGCUGCAUGCAACGCUUAAGAGAGUUUAUAGUCCACAUUAAUAUAGUUGUCAAUCUAAGUUAACUUUUGCAACCAGUGAAUAUGAUGUGGCCAAGGCAGCGGGACAAACGGACGCGCCAAGGAGCUAUGAAGAAAGGCCCAGCAAAGUGGCUCUCUCUCUCUGGAAGGAUGUCAGCUCUCUGUGCCUGGCCAUCCCUGAGGACGCUUGAUGUCAUCUUGUCUACCUGAUCAUUACACUACCUGCUCUCCUCUACAAUGCUGCCCUCUCGCUGCUCCGCCACUUGAAAUGCUUGGCUGGCCUCUUCUCUGAAACCAUCAUGAAAUUGUGUGCUAAAACGCUGCAGACCGGGCCUCCUCUCUCCUCCCUCCAGCCAUGUGUGCAGGAGCCAGAAAAAGAUUCCUCCACUCGGACGGCUGCUGCUCAGUCACGGGGAAAACACACAAAACAUCCUUCAGCCAUCUGCCACUGCUCACCUCUCUCUCUCUCACAGCUUUUAUUUGAUUUAUUGAUGUUUGCAGUGUAUGAUAUGUUAUACACGACAGCAAUAUCCAAGUAAAUGUAAUGGACACAUACCCAGGUGUUUAAAAAAACAAGUCAGUUUGUAGAUUUCAUGAUUUAUUAAAAUCUACAAGUCAGGCUUUAUGCAGGUUCACUGACUGUGUUUGCCACUGUGCGUGAGAUAUUAAAGACUUUGUAAUGAGA